ensembl:lncRNA
GGGGCUCAGCAGGGCCAGCGGGAGCCCGCCUGCAGACACACGUGAAUGGGCACCUCCCGUAGAGCCCUGCUCGUUUCAGCUGUCUGUCGGCCACGUCCGGUGACCUCCUGGAUGGGGGCUUCCCCCAGAGGCACCAGCCUCUCUGGCAUGCGUGCUCCCACCCUGCUCCUCACAGCCCCUCACUGAGCCUAUUGGGGCCCAAGCAAGGUCAGCUCCACGACACCCACAUCCGAUCAGGGUACCCCCGCCACCCCCAGAGCUACAGAGUGCUUCCAGAACCACCAGUUGGUGAUCUUCAAGCAACUUGAAUAGAGAGAAAAAAAAACCCCCCACGUGUUGGUUGAAGUUAAAUGGACCUCUUUGCACUAAAUCAAUCACACUUAGCUGUGUGCCUUCCCACUGUUUCAGUCAUGCAGUAGCUCAGAGCAGAUUUCCCUCCUCAAGGAGGUAACGGUGACUGGUCCCACUUUCCAGAUGGGACAGGAAGACAGAUGCUGGACAGAAAAUAGACCAUUCUCUGUGUCCUUCAUGACUUCACCGAGGGAAGAAUGCGAGUCUACUCUGUAUCCUUCAUGACUUCACCAAGGGAAGAAUGCGAGUCUAUAGGAACACCAGAGAGACACAAAUCUGCACACUCAUGGGUAUUUCUGUCUGCUGCGUGUAUGCCCUGCUGCCUGGGGCCUGCAUGGAGGAGGAGGGAUACUCUGCCACCUGACAGAAGACAGUUCUCUCAAAGCCCACUGUAAACCCCCAAAUGCCUUCAGGAAAGCCACGUGGUGCACGGCAGAAGUUUCCAAUCCUGGCCAUGACGAGUGCCUGAGGGACUUUUUAAAAACCAAGAUCCCAAGACUUCUCCUCUGGAGAUUCUGAUGUGUACCCAGCCUCUCUGGGAGACACUUAAUGCAAG